rnacentral:rRNA from 1 species
UCUAUGGCUAUCCCACCCUGCACAUGCCCAGUCUCAUGUGACCUCAGAAGUAAGCAGGAUCAGGCCUGGUUAGUACUUGGAUGGGAAUAGCACUUCUGUGUUGUCACUGGAA